rnacentral:tRNA from 1 species
GGUUCCUUAACUUAACUGGUAAAGUAUAUUCUUGAUAAGGAUAGGUUCGGCGUUCAAAUCGCUGAGGAAUCA